rnacentral:rRNA from 1 species
AGUAGGUAGCUUARCCUUCGGGAGGGCGCUUACCACUUUGUGAUUCAUGACUGGGGUGAAGUCGUAACAAGGUAACCGUAGGGGAACCUGCGGUUGGAUCACCUCCUUACCUUAAAGAAGC